UACGGGGGGGGGCAAGCGUUGGUUCGGAAUUACUGGGCGUAAAGGGCUCGUAGGCGCCAACUAAGUCAGACGUGAAAUCCCUCGGCUUAACCGGGGAACUGCGUCUGAUACUGGUUGGCUUGAAUCCGGGAGAGGGAUGUGGAAUUCCAGGUGUAGCGGUGAAAUGCGCAGAUAUCGGGGAGGAACACCAAUGGCGAAGGCAGCUCGCUGGGACGUGACUGACGCUGAGACGCGAAAGCGUGGGGAGC
rnacentral:rRNA from 1 species